rnacentral:rRNA from 1 species
AUUGAACGCUGGCGGCAUGCCUUACACAUGCAAGUCGAACGGCAGCACGGGUGCUUGCACCUGGUGGCGAGUGGCGAACGGGUGAGUAAUGCAUCGGAACGUACCCGGAAGUGGGGGAUAACGUAACGAAAGUUACGCUAAUACCGCAUAUUCUGUGAGCAGGAAAGAGGGGGAUCGCAAGACCUCUCGCUUUCGGAGCGGCCGAUGUCGGAUUAGCUAGUUGGCGGGGUAAGAGCCCACCAAGGCGACGAUCCGUAGCGGGUCUGAGAGGAUGAUCCGCCACAAUGGGACUGAGACACGGCCAGACUCCUACGGGAGGCAGCAGUGGGGAAUUUUGGACAAUGGGCGCAAGCCUGAUCCAGCCAUGCCGCGUGAGUGAAGAAGGCCUUCGGGUUGUAAAGCUCUUUCGGCUGGGAAGAAAUCGCAUCUCCUAAUACGGGGUGUGGAUGACGGUACCAGCAUAAGAAGCACCGGCUAACUACGUGCCAGCAGCCGCCGUAAGAC